rnacentral:rRNA from 1 species
AAUCCUGGCUCAGGAUGAACGCUGGCGGCGUGCCUAACACAUGCAAGUCGAGCGAGAAACUUAUGACGGAAGCUUCGGUUGAAGUCAUGGGUGGAAAGCGGCGGACGGGUGAGUAACGCGUAGGCAACCUGCCCUUUGCAGAGGGAUAGCCUCGGGAAACCGGGAUUAAAACCUCAUGAUGCCGUGUGAAGACAUCUUCAUAUGGUCAAAGAUUUAUCGGCAAAGGAUGGGCCUGCGU